UCUCUCGGUUGCCGGAAGAUGGGGGGGAAAUCACCUUAAGUGCUUGCUGCCGGGUUUUGUGACGAGAGUAAGGAUGGAGAAGCGUGAACGGUCUUGGGAGACGUGCAUUACCUUGACCUUAAGAGAUGAUGCGUCCUGAUUGGCUAGCUCUGCUGCCCUCUCCCCGGGGGUCAACAGGGUCAUAAUUACAGAAGAAAUAGAAAAGUAGGGGAUCAAACAAGCCCGCCGCAGUGGCGGGCGCUGGCAGGGGAAAGCUGGGCCUCCGUGCUUGCCUCUAGGUGGGCUCGAGUCCCCUGGGUCGGCCCGCCCAGGCGAGGCGCGUGACCCGCGCCAGACCGCGCGGGGGGCGGGGCUAGAGGGCAGUGGGCGUGGCCGUCCACGUGCGCACAUUUGUCUCCUGUGCUCGCGGGCGGACAGGUAGGGGCAGGCGUGGAGUCGGGGUGUCCCGGGGCGGGAAGACUCCCCGUGAAGCCCCCGGGCAACGCCCCUGCCCCGCGCCCGUGGCCGAGUAGGGAGCGCAGGGGUCGAUUUCUGGAGGAGGAGGCGCGUGCGUCUCCGUGGCUGUCCGGCUGGGCGACGACGGGCCCGCACACCGGCAGCGGUGUUUCUGCUCCAUCAAGGACCCCCAGAGCGCAGGCAUCCGGUCCAGGCGGCACCGCAGGGCGCCUCGUCCAGGCUUCUGGGGGAGCUUCUCUGGACCGCGAAGGCCGCCCCGUUGGGAAACCGCGCACGCCACACGAAUGCACUUGGAUAGAUUCGAGGAGAGGAGCCGUAAAAUCGAAAAUCAUGUUUCUCCAGUGCUGUUCUGAGAUAGCCCAACAGCAACCUGAACUGAUUCACCAUCUGCAUAGAAACCAGAAGUUGAUGAGCAAAGUCCAAAUUCUUUUGGCACCAUGUUCAAAGCAGAGCCUUCCCACCCCCUCAUUAACUGCUACUGUGCAUUCAUUUAACAAACACUUGGAGCCCCUGUUCUGUGCUGGCACUGGGGGAACACUGGAAUCAGUCCCUCAGAACCUCUGGGCAAGGGGAUGAAAUUGAGUUUCCAGACCUACAAAGCUGUGAACUGGAUCCUGUCCCACGUCCUGCCCACCUGUGAGGUCCUAUGAGCCGCAGCGCUUAGCAAAUGCCAUAACUGAAUCGUGCUGGAAAGCAUGGCUGAUGAGUGGAGUAGGUCCACG
rnacentral:lncRNA from 1 species